rnacentral:rRNA from 1 species
AUUGAACGCUGGCGGCAGGCCUAACACAUGCAAGUCGAGCGGAUGAAGGGAGCUUGCUCCUGGAUUCAGCGGCGGGCGGGUGAGUAAUGCCUAGGAAUCUGCCUGGUAGUGGGGGAUAACGUCCGGAAACGGGCGCUAAUACCGCAUACGUCCUGAGGGAGAAAGUGGGGGAUCUUCGGACCUCACGCUAUCGGAUGAGCCUAGGUCGGAUUAGCUAGUUGGUGGGGUAAAGGCCUACCAAGGCGACGAUCCGUAACUGGUCUGAGAGGAUGAUCAGUCACACUGGAACUGAGACACGGUCCAGACUCCUACGGGAGGCAGCAGUGGGGAAUAUUGGACAAUGGGCGAAAGCCUGAUCCAGCCAUGCCGCGUGUGUGAAGAAGGUCUUCGGAUUGUAAAGCACUUUAAGUUGGGAGGAAGGGCAGUAAGUUAAUACCUUGCUGUUUUGACGUUACCAACAGAAUAAGCACCGGCUAACUUCGUG